rnacentral:lncRNA from 1 species
AGUACAAAUCUAGAUUUAAAUUUAUCCUUUCCUUAAUUGGUUGGAUCAAUCAAAUCCUAAUUUGAUUCAACUUGAACUUUAUAUUAAUUUGAUCAUAUCAAAUUAAUAACGCAACAUUUGCACAUAAAUUCUCUUAUAAUUUACUAAUUAUUAGUAAGUCCUCUCUAGUAACAUUUAUACCUUAAUACCACUAAUUUGUAACAGUUAUAAAUUAGUCCAAUUAUCAACAUAUUGACAAUUAGGUCCUCCGACAAUUCAAUAAUCGCGAUCUAGCUAUCUGAUCAAUCACAACCUCUUAUGUGUGUGACCCCAUAGGUUCUAUUCUAUCUGGUAGUGAGAUAUAUUUUGAUCACUAUCAACAAUAUCACUGAAACUCCUUUCAGUGGAUCGGAACAAUUCCAAUUCAGCUCAAUGAGAAUUAUCGAUCAUCUAAAUAAUUCUCAUGAGUCUCACAAUCCACCAAUGACGCCUAGCAGCAUAUAGUGGCAUUCCAGUAGAAUGGAAUACUGAACCUCUUGGUGCAGUUACUGUAAGGACCCGAAUAGCUAGGGACCAAGUGUAUGUACAGUCAAACUA